rnacentral:rRNA from 1 species
UACGUAGGGUGCAAGCAUUAAUCGGAUUUAUUGGGCGUAAAGGGCGCGUAGGCGGGAAAGUCAGUCAGAUGUGAAAUCCCGGAGCUCAACUCCGGAACAGCAUUUGAAACUGCUUUUCUAGAGGGUAGGCGGAGAAAACGGAAUUCCACAAGUAGCGGUGAAAUGCGUAGAUAUGUGGAAGAACACCAGUGGCGAAGGCGGUUUUCUAGCUUACACCUGACGCUGAGGCGCGAAAGCAAGGGGAGCAAACAGG